GACGAACGCUGGCAGCGUGCUUAACACAUGCAAGUCGAACGAAGAGCGAUGGAAGCUUGCUUCUAUCAAUCUUAGUGGCGAACGGGUGAGUAACGCGUAAUCAACCUGCCCUUCAGAGGGGGACAACAGUUGGAAACGACUGCUAAUACCGCAUACGAUCUAAUCUCGGCAUCGAGGAUAGAUGAAAGGUGGCCUCUACAUGUAAGCUAUCACUGAAGGAGGGGAUUGCGUCUGAUUAGCUAGUUGGAGGGGUAACGGCCCACCAAGGCGAUGAUCAGUAGCCGGUCUGAGAGGAUGAACGGCCACAUUGGGACUGAGACACGGCCCAGACUCCUACGGGAGGCAGCAGUGGGGAAUCUUCCGCAAUGGACGAAAGUCUGACGGAGCAACGCCGCGUGAGUGAUGACGGCCUUCGGGUUGUAAAGCUCUGUUAAUCGGGACGAAAGGCCUUCUUGCGAAUAGUGAGAAGGAUUGACGGUACCGGAAUAGAAAGCCACGGCUAACUACGUG
rnacentral:rRNA from 1 species